rnacentral:misc_RNA from 1 species
GAAAUGCGAUAGGUAGUGUGAAUUGCAGAUGUAACGUGAAUCAUCGAAUCUUUGAACGCAAAUUGCACUCUCUGGUAUUCCGGGGAGUAUGCCUGUUUGAGGGUCGCCAAAUCAACAUCGAAAUUCAUUUGCUUUUGUAAAUGUUUAUCGGAUUUGAGCCGUCUUUUAUUUUUUUAAUUAAAGUGGCUUAAAAUGUAUUUUUUGGUAUCGAAAAACGUUAUUUUACGAUCAAAUUGAUUAAAAAAACAAACGUUUCGAAUGCCGUCUUUUAAUGUAAUACGCUUGACUGUGGUGUUAAUCAUAGUUUCAUUCGUAUACGAUUUUUUAAUUUUUGACCUCAAAUCAGGUAAGAACACCCGCUGAACUUAA